GGGCGAUUAGCUCAGUUGGUAGAGCAUCUCGUUUACACCGAGGGGGUCGGGGGUUCGAGUCCCUCAUCGCCCACCA
rnacentral:tRNA from 1 species